AACCUCCGCAAUGUGAGAAAUCGCGACGGGGGGAUCCCAAGUGCCAUUCUUAACGGGAUGGCUUUUCAUUAGUGUAAAGAGCUUUUGGAAUAAGAGCUGGGCAAGACCGGUGCCAGCCGCCGCGGUAACACCGGCAGCUCUAGUGGUAGCAAUUUUUAUUGGGCCUAAAGCGUCCGUAGCCGGUUUAAUAAGUCUCUGGUGAAAUCCUGCAGCUUAACUGUGGGAAUUGCUGGAGAUACUAUUAGACUUGAGAUCGGGAGAGGUUAGAGGUACUCCCAGGGUAGAGGUGAAAUUCUGUAAUCCUGGGAGGACCGCCUGUUGCGAAGGCGUCUAACUGGAACGAUUCUGACGGUGAGGGACGAAAGUUAGGGGCGCGAACCGGAUUAGAUACCCGGGUAGUCCUAACUGUAACGAUGCGGACUUGGUGUUGGGUGGGCUUUGAGCUGCUCCAGUGCCGAAGGGAGCUGUUAAGUCCGCCGCCUGGGAAGUACGGUCGCAAGACUGAAACUUAAAGGAAUU
rnacentral:rRNA from 1 species